UACGUAGGGUGCAAGCGUUGUCCGGAAUUAUUGGGCGUAAAGAGCUCGUAGGCGGUCUGUCGCGUCGGCUGUGAAAACCCGGGACUCAACCCCGGGCCUGCAGUCGAUACAGGCAGACUAGAGUGCGGUAGGGGAGACUGGAAUUCCUGGUGUAGCGGUGGAAUGCGCAGAUAUCAGGAGGAACACCGAUGGCGAAGGCAGAUCUCUGGGCCGUAACUGACGCUGAGGAGCGAAAGCGUGGGGAGCGAACAGG
rnacentral:rRNA from 1 species